rnacentral:rRNA from 1 species
GAUCAUUAAUGAAGUGAAACCAGGAGGGGUUGUCGCUGCCUCGCAAGGGGAUGUGCACGCCUUUCUAACUUCUACCUUACCACCUGUGAACCUUUGCUGGUUGUUGAACCUCUCGCACGAAAAUUGCGGAUGGUGGCUUUGUACAUUUACUGUACUUUCGCCGCGAUUGAUACAACCUUCUAUUAACAAACCAAUUUUAAAACCUCGAAUGUUAAAUUAUCGGUUGUAGUGACCUUUAAUACUUAAUACAACUCUGAGCAACGGAUCUCUAGGCUCUUGCAUCGAUGAAGAACGCAGCGAAAUGCGAUAAGUAAUGUGAAUUGCAGAAUUCAGUGAAUCAUCGAAUCUUUGAACGCACCUUGCACCCUUGGGCAUUCCCAAGGGUACGCCUGUUUGAGUGUCAUUAAAUUCUCAAACUCACAACUUGUUGGAAACAACUUGUCUGUGGGCUUUGGAUGUGGGGACUACUGGACUCCUUCGAAAGUCGGAGGUCGGUUUCCCUUAAAUACAUUAGCGGUUCGUCGGGCCCCAGCUCUUGGUGUUGAUAGUUGCAUCUUCACACCUUACAUAGUCUGGCUAGUUCAUACGAUGGCGGCUGCUCUCUAACCGUCUCUUUACUGAGACAACAAACCUUGACAUUUGGCCUCAAAUCAGGUGGGACUACCCGCUGAACUUAAGCAUAUCAAUAAGCGGAGGAAAAGAAACUAACAAGGAUUCCCCUAGUAACUGCGAGUGAAGAGGGAAAAGCUCAAAUUUAAAAUCUGGCAGCUUUGCUGUCCGAGUUGUAAAUUAGAGAAGUGUUGCCCGCGCUGGACCGUGCAUAAGUCUCCUGGAAUGGAGCAUCAUUGAGGGUGAGAAUCCCGUCUUUGGCAUGGACUACCAGGGCUAUGUGGUACGCUCUCAAAGAGUCGAGUUGUUUGGGAAUGCAGCUCAAAAUGGGUGGUAAAUUCCAUCUAAAGCUAAAUACAGGCAAGAGACCGAUAGCGAACAAGUACCGUGAGGGAAAGAUGAAAAGAACUUUGGAAAGAGAGUUAAACAGUACGUGAAAUUGCUCAGAGGGAAACGCUUGCAGUUAGUCGCGCUGGGUCAGAAUCAGCCUUGCUUUUGCUUGGUGCACUUUUGGCUCGGUGGGUCAACAUCAGUUUUGANCUGGCGGAUAAUGGCUAGGAGAAUGUGGCUCUCUCGGGAGUGUUAUAGCUCUUGGUCGUAUANCGCUGGUUGGGANCUGAGGAANCUCAGCACGCCCGCAAGGCCCCGGGUCUUUGA